rnacentral:rRNA from 1 species
UACGUAGGUGGCGAGCGUUGUCCGGAUUUACUGGGCGUAAAGGGCGCGUAGGCGGCUUGGCAAGUGGAUGGUGAAAUCCCUCGGCUUAACCGAGGAACUGCCAUCCAGACUGCUUUGCUUGAGGCCGGGAGAGGUAAGUGGAAUUCCCAGUGUAGCGGCGAAAUGCGUAGAUAUUGGGAGGAACACCAGUGGCGAAGGCGGCUCACUGGACCGGAACUGACGCUGAGGCGCGAAAGCGUGGGGAGCAAACAGG